GGAGGGGUGUGAGAGUGGUUUAAUCAGCCGGUCUUGAAAACCGUGCGCCGAAAGGCACGUGGGUUCGAAUCCCACCCCCUCCGCCA
rnacentral:tRNA from 1 species